rnacentral:rRNA from 1 species
AACGAACGCUGGCGGCAUGCCUAACACAUGCAAGUCGAACGAGACCUUCGGGUCUAGUGGCGCACGGGUGCGUAACGCGGGGGACCCUGCCCUUAGGUUCGGAAUAACUCCCCGAAAGGGGUGCUAAUACCGGAUAAUGUCUUCGGACCAAAUAUUUAUCGCCUUUGGGUGGGCCCGCGUUGGAUUAGCUAGUUGGUAGGGAAAAAGCCUACCAAGGCGACGAUCCAUAGCUGGUCUGAGAGGAUGAUCAGCCACACUGGGACUGAGACACGGCCCAGACUCCUACGGGACGCAGCAGUGCGGAAUCUUGGACAAUGGGCGAAAGCCUGAUCCACCUAUGCCGCGUGAGUGAUGAAGGCCUUAGGGUUAUAAAGCUCUUUUACCCGGGAUGAUAAUGACAGUACCGGGAGAAUAAGCUCCGGCUAACUCCGUG